GGACCCGCACAAGUAGUGGAGCAUGUGGUUUAAUUCGAAGAUACGCGCAGAACCUUACCAACACUUGACAUGUUCGUCGCGACUCUAAGAGAUUAGAGUUUUCGGUUCGGCCGGACGAAACACAGGUGCUGCAUGGCUGUCGUCAGCUCGUGUCGUGAGAUGUUGGGUUAAGUCCCGCAACGAGCGCAACCCUCACUUUUAGUUGCCAUCAUUAAGUUGGGCACUCUGAAAGAACUGCCAGUGAUAAGCUGGAGGAAGGUGGGGAUGACGUCAAGUCCUCAUGGCCCUUACGUGUUGGGCUACACACGUGCUACAAUGGUAGUGACAAUGGGUUAAUCCCAAAAGCUAUCUCAGUU
rnacentral:rRNA from 1 species